rnacentral:rRNA from 1 species
GUUGAGCGGAGAUAUAUGGAGCUUGCUUUAUAUAACUUAGCAGCGAACGGGUGAGUAACACGUAGAUAAUCUAUCCUAUACUGGGGGAUAGCCCGAUGAAAGUUGGAUUAAUACCGCAUAUAGCUAUAUAGUUGCAUGAUUAUGUAGUGAAAGAUUUAUUGGUAUAGGAGGAGUCUGCGGCACAUUAGCUAGUAGGUGAGGUAAAGGCUUACCUAGGCGACGAUGUGUAGCCGGUCUGAGAGGAUGAACGGCCACAAUGGAACUGAGACACGGUCCAUACUCCUACGGGAGGCAGCAGUGGGGAAUAUUGCACAAUGGGGGAAACCCUGAUGCAGCAACGCCGCGUGAGUGAAGAAGGUUUUCGGAUUGUAAAGCUCUGUUAGCAGGGAAGAGGAAGGACGGUACCUGCAGAGGAAGCCACGGCUAACUACGUGCCAGCAGCCGCGGUAAUACGUAGGUGGCAAGCGUUGUUCGGAAUAACUGGGCGUAAAGGAUGCGUAGGCGGUUAAACAAGUUAUAUGUUAAAUAUAUAGGCUUAACCUGUAGAAAGCAUAUAAAACUGUUUAACUAGAGUGCAGGAGAGGUAAGUGGAAUUCCUAGUGUAGCGGUGAAAUGCGUAGAGAUUAGGAAGAACACCAGUGGCGAAGGCGACUUACUGGACUGUAACUGACGCUGAGGCAUGAGAGCAUGGGGAGCAAACAGGAUUAGAUACCCUGGUAGUCAUGCUGUAAACGAUGGGUACUAGGUGUGGGUUGUGAAUAACAAUUCGUGCCGUCGC